rnacentral:rRNA from 1 species
UACGGAGGGUGCAAACGUUGCUCGGAAUCAUUGGGCGUAAAGCGCACGUAGGCGGACCGCUAAGUCGGAUGUGAAAGCCCUCGGCUUAACCGAGGAAGUGCAUUCGAACUGACAGUCUUGAGUAUGGAAGAGGGUCGCGGAAUUCCCGGUGUAGAGGUGAAAUUCGUAGAUAUCGGGAGGAACACCAGUGGCGAAGGCGGCGACCUGGGCCAAUACUGACGCUGAGGUGCGAAAGCGUGGGGAGCAAACAGG